GAAAAGGUUCUUGGCCUUUAUUCCUCCCCUUUUAUCAAAGAGGAAAGGUGAAGAGGCUGGAGUUAUGCAAUUGCUCUUUCCCCACUCAGAUAAAGCUUUGGCAAUUUAAUUUUCUUUGAAGGAUGUCCUAAGUUAUGGAGAACAGAAUGCACUGUAUAUGUAUCAAAACAUUUCCUCCUGUUUUCUGCAUGAAGCAUGAGGCAAUUUUUUCUAAACUUCACGCAAGCUCCAUGCCCAGCAUGGAGCCCAACAUGGGGUUCAAACUCACAGCCUGGAGCCAAAAUUGAGAGAAAGAUACUCAACCAACUAAACCACCCAGGUGCCAGUUCAUAUUACAAUUCAUCACACCACUGCUGACUGCUGGUAUGAACCUAGUGGGUUUUGUCUAGCCAGAUGACACUGACCAAAUGAGAAGUUUCAUGACGGAGAUUGUACAUAUAAAAGAAUGAAAAGUACCUCAACAUGGAUAUGCAAGAACAAGAUCAAUGGGAAGAAAUACUUGUACUCUAAUUGCCAAAGUUAAGAACGAAUGUCAUCAUCUUUACCUAUUGAGGAAAGGUUUCUGAAGGUUUCCCGCAUCACAUCUCUGUAGAGUUUCUUUUGUGAAGAAUCCAGUAAAGCCCACUCUUCCAGGGUGAAGCUCACAGCUACAUCCUCAAAGGUUACUGAGUCCUAAAACAUCCCAAAUAUGUUUAUAGUAGCAUGUAUGAUGAGUCUGACAGCACUGGGGAUCUAUACUCAAUUUAUAGGAAGGUUAUAUAUGAUUCUGUGGUACCCACACAUUUAUUUUAUGUCUUGGUCAUGAGAAACUUACUCUGUUCAUACUUCCUCAUAAAUUUAACAGCAUCAUGAACACAUGCAAAUUAUUUAUUCAUCUUUAUGGGAUCACUUUAAACGUUACUGUUCUCUAAUAACAGGGCCUAGAGCACCUUGGAAAAAUGAGAGAAAUGCUAUACAAAUGAAAAGUAUUAUUUUAAGCACACCAAUUCCUUUUGAGAAAAAUGCUCUCAUCUCCUUCCUUCUUACCUACCAUUUAACUCAGCACUCCAUGAUGUACGGGGUCAAAUCUGCAUGAGGUUUUAAUGAAUAAAACACAGUGAAGAACUGGAAGCUUUUUCUUCUAGUCCCAUCACCAAACAUGAGAGUCCAGGAGGCCUGUGGAAAUGCAACUUGUAAUAAGGAUCAGCUUGCUAUACCAGCCUGAAGUGCUCCAGGCCAUUAGAGGUAGCCUGAUGUAACUAGAUAAAGGAAAAUAUUCUCAUGAAGAAGUAGUACUUUUAACUUGUGUGAUAUUUAUCAGUUUUUCCAUUCUCUCUCUCUCUGUCCCAUUUCAUGGAGCGAGGAAGUUAUUCAGAAGCUAGGGCUCAGACAAUUUAGCAUGAUAGGACAUGCUGCUAAAAAGGCACAAUUUAAAUCUCCACAAAAACUUUAUACUCAUGAUGAGCCUCAGGGUUGCUUCUCACUUUUUAGCACACACACAGAGAUGCAAAGGUGUUAGAAGAGCUUUUUGAUCAAACUCUAACAGCGUACCCUGGCCAUUCUAACCUUGAUGAAUACAUUAAGAACUGCAGGUUGUGAGGGAGUUCACUGGUAUCUACAAUGGUCUGAUGAUGAAUCUGUUUGUGAUUAUUAAAUCUGUAAAGGAUUCAGCAGUGCUUUCCUCCAAAUGAACAUAAAAUCUUCAUUCUCCAAUUUCAGGAGGAAGUUUCCUGACCAGCCACUCUAGAGGGAGCCCUCUCAUUUUCUCUCCUUUAUGAGCUCUGAUGUGGUGCAGAGAAGCACAACAGCUACACCCAAAUAUAGGAAUCCCUAAGUUGAUGACACCACAUACUGCCAACAGGGUAUAAUAGAGUUUAUUUUCUAAUUGAGGUCUCUAGGGAGGAAGGCAGGCCUCUCAAGCAGGCAUGAAAUGGCUUGAGAGAACAGGGGAAAACACGUGGACUUUUUAACUGAGGCUGUGGGUGGACUAGAGGUUCAUACACAAGGACAGGAGCUUGUGUGAAUGGAAUCUCUUGCCACCGCCAAAGUAGUAAGCACUAGGCUUUUUUACUGCCUUGGAUAGAACUGGACCACAGAAGGAGGGAGGAGGGAUGAGCUUCAAAGCUAUAAGCAGUUAAACAUUUGAAGCAGUCACUCCCUUGCAAGGAAAAAGCAAAAAACAAAAAAUAAAAAAAUAAACUUAAAAUGAACAACUCUUCUUAGAUCAUCAGAGAACUGAGGAAAGAGGGCAAACCACUGUCUUCAAAUUGGAGACAGAAAAGAAGCUAAACUGAAAUAUGCCCAGAAUAUUCUAUUCUUAACAAGGCCUGUCUUCAGAAGAAUCUGUUUCACUGGGGCUAAGCAAACAGAAAAAAAAACACAAUAUCCAAGAACUUUGGGAUAAUGACAAUGGGAAUAACUGAUGGAAAAGAAAGGCAGAAAAGAACAGAAAAAGUAAGUGAAGCAAUAAUGACUCCAUCUUCCUACCACUCAAAAUAGCAAACUGCAGAUCCGGGAAGCUAAAAGAACACAAAACAUGAAAGAAAAAAAAAAAAAAAAAACAA